UCCCUGGUAGUCCAGUGGUUAACACUCCAUGCUCCCAAUGCAAGUGGCCCAGGUUCAAUCCCUGGUCAGGGAA
rnacentral:tRNA from 1 species